AUACUUACCUGGCAGGGGAGAUACCAUGAUCACAAAGGUGGUUUUCCCAGGGCGAGGCUUAUCCAUUGCACUCCGGAUGUGCUGACCCCUGUGAUUUCCCCAAAUGUGGGAAACUUGACUGCAUAAUUUGUGGUAGUGGGGGACUGCAUUCGUGCUCUCCCCUG
rnacentral:snRNA from 1 species